UCAUUAAUUCUAACACUUUAUUUCAGGAUUUUUCAAACUGGUGCCACCACUGGCUGUUGGGACAUAACAGGGUCUUCUCAGUGGUGGUUCCCAGUUUGUGGAAUGCCCUUCCUGGGGAGGUGCAUCCGCCUCUUUCAUCAGCAUCAGCAUCAACAACAAGCUGAUAUUGAGCUCACACAAGGAAGAAAGCAGAUGAAUCUCUCACAUGGGCAAGAUGCCAGAAGUGAAGAACUUGGAAAAAUUGCUUCAGACUAUGUCAUGAUCAUGGAAAGCUCAGAUGACAUACCAUUCAGGAAGGUUUUUGGUACAAAGAUGCAACAUUGAAAAACAUACACUCCAGAACUCAAGUUGCCUCGGGUUUUUCACUUCGGUAGUGUGUGUACUAUGAGUUACUAUCAUUUGUAAUAUGUACUUGCUGCAUGCAUUAAAAAUACAUUUUAAGCCGAAAAACAGAAGUGUAAGAAAACAUUCCUGCAGAAAGUGUGUUGUGGUGCACAGGGUUCUGCCACCAGCACAACUCUUCCCCCUUCGUUGCCUGAGCUGCUCUGUCGGCUGUGGGGCUCAGAUGUGACAAGUGAGUCACCUAAUCCCUGAAAAUUAUGCUCAGUGUAGAUUCAUUUUUAAGUUACAAGCUGAUUGCUUAUUAAAGUAUAACUGAUGCACUUCCCUCCUCUGUGCCAGUUAAUUAGCAGCUUUUGAAAAUAUUUUGGCCCCUCUAAAUGUUACAUAAACAUCUGUUUUACCAUAAUCACCCUUGUCAGACAAUAUUAGUUUAUUUGUCAACUUCUUGCUGUGUGUUGAUGUUUUAUUUAU